rnacentral:tRNA from 1 species
GGGGGUGUAGCUCACUGGUAGAGCACACGCUUGGCAUGCACAAGGUCCUGGGUUCAUUCCCCAGUGCCUCUG